rnacentral:lncRNA from 1 species
AUCCACAUCUCAAAGAAAUGGGGUUUCACCAAGUUCAAUGCAGAUGAAUUUGAAGACAUGGUUGCUGAGAAGCGGCUCAUUCCUGAUGGCUGUGGUGUCAAAUAUAUCCCCAGUCGUGGUCCUCUGGACAAGUGGAGAGCCCUGCGUUCCUGAAGGCUUCCACAGUGCUCUCCUAUACCCUAUCAAAUCAUGUUCAAUAAUAAAUCUCACAUC